rnacentral:rRNA from 1 species
UACGUAGGGUGCAAGCGUUGUCCGGAAUCAUUGGGCGUAAAGCGCGCGUAGGUGGUCAUGUAAGUCCGCUGUGAAAGUCAAGGGCUCAACCUUUGAAAGCCGGUGGAUACUGCAUGACUAGAGUACGGAAGAGGCGAGUGGAAUUCCUGGUGUAGCGGUGGAAUGCGCAGAUAUCAGGAGGAACACCAAUAGCGAAGGCAGCUUGCUGGGACGUUACUGACGCUGAGGAGCGAAAGCGUGGGGAGCGAACAGG